UCACCCCUCAAGCCCCCGGCUUGGUGUUGGAUGGUCGGUGGGACCCUUAGGUUCCACCCCUCCCAAAGACAAUGACGGCGGCCUCGUUGGACCCCCGGUACACUGAGUUCUUCACCGAACACGUACUGGACUAAGGGCCCGCGGGGCACGGUCUGCCUCCCCUCAGGGAGAAUUUUAAUAA
rnacentral:misc_RNA from 1 species